GGAACUGAGUGAGAGGCUGGAUGACUAAGUCCAGACCCUACAGGCCGCUUGGCAGGAACCGCCCAGCCCUCGUGGCCGGUACAGGGCAGGUCUCACCAGACCCAACUGCCACGGGCCCUGAGAUGAGAGGGAGCCCAGGGCAGGUCUCUCUGGGCCUGGUCAUCAGGCAGUCAGAGCAACCCAGUCCAGGACAGGUCCAGUUAGGCCUGGGUGCCACUGGCCUGGUAAACAGUGGGCCAGGGUCCUGCACCCAAAGGAAUCGGGGCCCCAUGUCCUCAAUGUCCACAUCCUCUCUGAGCAGCUUCCACCUUGGCCAGAGGCAAGGCUACUGUGAACAUGCUGGGGCGAACAUCAGAAAAGGGACAUGGACACUGUGUCACUUCAGUCCUGCCAUUCGCCUCAUUGUAACUCCUGGCCCAGGCGUCCAUGUGGCCCUGGUCAGAUGCCAGGAAGCGUGGGCUACAGGACCUCCUAUGAGAGGCAGUAAACACAGCCAUUCAGCCUCACAUGGAUAA
rnacentral:lncRNA from 1 species